rnacentral:rRNA from 1 species
UGGGGAAUAUUGCACAAUGGGCGCAAGCCUGAUGCAGCCAUGCCGCGUGUAUGAAGAAGGCCUUCGGGUUGAAAAGUACUUUCAGCGGGGAGGAAGGUGUUGAGGUUAAUAACCUCAGCAAUUGACGUUACCCGCAGAAGAAGCACCGGCUAACUCCGUGCCAGCAGCCGCGGUAAUACGGAGGGUGCAAGCGUUAAUCGGAAUUACUGGGCGCAAAGCGCACGCAGGCGGUCUGUCAAGUCGGAUGUGAAAUCCCCGGGCUCAACCUGGGAACUGCAUUCGAAACUGGCAGGCUAGAGUCUUGUAGAGGGGGGUAGAAUUCCAGGUGUAGCGGUGAAAUGCGUAGAGAUCUGGAGGAAUACCGGUGGCGAAGGCGGCCCCCUGGACAAAGACUGACGCUCAGGUGCGAAAGCGUGGGGAGCAAACA